AAGUUCAAACAAAAUUUCUAGUAUAGAAGAUGGUGCGUUUUCUGGUCUUCCGUCUUUGCGUAUACUUGCUAUAGACAAUAAUAAUUUGACAACGGUAUCCGGUAAUAUAUUUGACAAAGUAACAGAUCUUAGAAAAUUGAUUCUUCGUGGUAACCCAUUGCUUUGCUGUACAAUGAUUGAUUUUUUUGAAUGGCUACCAAAUCAAAAAAAUAUAACGUUCUAUGACGGCACUUGUACUGAUUUCAACUCAACCACUGACAUCAACAGUUUUAAUGUAUCAAAGU